rnacentral:rRNA from 1 species
UACGUAGGGUGCGAGCGUUGUCCGGAAUUAUUGGGCGUAAAGAGCUCGUAGGCGGUGUGUCGCGUCGGCCGUGAAAACCUGCAGCUUAACUGUGGGCUUGCGGUCGAUACGGGCAUCACUGGAGUUCGGCAGGGGAGACUGGAAUUCCUGGUAUAGCGGUGAAAUGCGCAGAUAUCAGGAGGAACACCGGUGGCGAAGGCGGGUCUCUGGGCCGAUACUGACGCUGAGGAGCGAAAGCGUGGGGAGCGAACAGG